UAUAACACCAGAUUCAAAAAAAGACUGCGUUCAUGCUUGCAUGAAAACGCAGUCUUUUUUAUGAAUCGCCAAAAUAUGAGAAAAUAGCCCGAUAGGGUGGUUUUCGAAUAUUUUGUAGAAUUGCGAGAGUUCGAAGAACGUAGCAAUUCGUGUUAUA
rnacentral:sRNA from 10 species